AUUGUACUCCCUCCGUCCCAAAAUUAUUGUCUUAGAUUUGUCUAAAUACGGAUGUAUCUAGAUACGUUUUAGUGUUAGAUACAUCCGUAUCUAGACAAAUCUAAGACAAGAAUUUUGGGCCGGAGGGAGUAUUAG
rfam:Triticum urartu cultivar G1812 contig421630, whole genome shotgun sequence.